AGUGAACGCUGGCGGUAGGCCUAACACAUGCAAGUCGAACGGCAGCACAGUAAGAGCUUGCUCUUAUGGGUGGCGAGUGGCGGACGGGUGAGGAAUACAUCGGAAUCUACUUUUUCGUGGGGGAUAACGCAGGGAAACUUACGCUAAUACCGCAUACGACCUACGGGUGAAAGCAGGGGAUCUUCGGACCUUGCGCGAUU
rnacentral:rRNA from 1 species